CGUGGCUAGCACUGAAAUCUUAUCCUUAUCAGUGCAAAUAGAUAAAAAUAGAAGCUUCUUUGAAGUGGCGAAUGAGCUUGCUCUUUCCGAAGACAAUAAAAUAAUCAAUUAUUAUGACAACGUUGACUUGAAAUGCACAGGAAUGUUGUUUCGAAAUUGGAUUGAACUAACAAAAGAUGGUCAGGUUAAAAGAGAUUUUAAUGGAGAAGCAAAAAUGGAUGGCCGCAUUUUAGAGUUGCCCCUAAGUGUCAUAACUAAAGCGGGCAACAACACCAACACU